rnacentral:lncRNA from 1 species
AUCUAGGGGGAGGGGGGAUGUGUCACCUUCAUAAAGCAAGGACUUCCCUACAGGAUGCUAGGCAGAGGUAUUGAACAGGAAUAUGUGGUUGAGAGGAGGGGUGAUAGUGGUAGUGCACUACUAUAAAGUCAGAUAUUGGACCUGGAAGUGCUGGAGAGGGUUGAGGGCCAGGAUAGAAGUAAGGUAAUGUGGUGUGGGGAUUUUAAUGCUCAUGACACGCUCUGGGGGGAAACGGAUGGAUGGAAAUGGCCAAGUGAUGGAAAAUCUGAUAGAAAUGAAAGAUCUGGUGUGCCUGAAUGAUGGCAGAGGGACCAGGAUUGAUGUAGCCACAGGGAAAGAGUCUGCCUUUCCCUGUAUCUAGUCUGGUAUCUAGUGCGAUGGCAGGAAUCUGUGAAUGGGAGGAGUCAACAGUAGGGAGUGAUCAUUAUACCAUAGUAUGCACAGUAGCCUGGAGAGAGGAGGAGAUGUCAGUGGAUGGAGUAGGCAGGUGGGUGUUUGGAAGGGCAAAGUGGGAUCAGUUUCAGGAGCUGAGUUAGCAGGUGAUGGCUCAGAUCGAUAUGAGAGGGGAUGUGGAUAGUAUAAAUAACUGGGUGAGAACAGCGUUAGUGGGGGCAGCUACUGAGACUAUACCUAAGAGUUUAAGGAGGAGGAGGAAAGCAGUCCUAUGGUGGACGGAGAAGUGACAGGCAAUGUUGAGGAGUAGGAACAGGGCAUUUAGAAUAGUGAAAAGGAUGCAUAACUAACAUAUUUAUUUAACUAGGCAAGUUGGUUAUGAACAAAUUCUUAUUUACAAUGAUGGCCUACCCCGGCCUACCCCUACUCCGGGGGGAAAAUGACCAGGCAGUUAUAAGGAGGCAGUAGUGGUACCAAUCCGGAAGCCAGGGAAGGACCCAACGAGGCCAACAAGCUAUCGGCCAAUAGCUUUAACAUCACAAGUACAGCCGGAUAUCGGGAGGUCGUUAUUUGCAGAUGAUGGGGCGUUAUGGAAGAGGGGAAGAAAUGUGCCAUACAUAGCCAGGAAGCUACAGGAAGCAAUUGGUGAGGUAGAGUGGUGGGCAUUAAUGUGGGGAUUUAGGUUCCCUGUAGAGAAAACUCAGUGUUUUUUACAAGGAGGAAGGUGAGAGACGAGGUAUGCUUGAGGUUAUACAGUAUGGGAUAAACUUGGAGAGGGUGAACCUUCAGGUUCCUUGGGGUAUACUUCUAUAUUUUUUAUUUAACCUUUAUUUAACUAGGCAAGACAUUUAAGAACCAAUUUUUAUUUACAAUGACGGCAGAACGACAUAUUUUUACCUUGUCAGCUCGGGGUUUCGAUCUAGAAAUGCCACCCCUACCUUGUCACAACACAACUGAUUGGCUCAAACGCAUUAAGAAGGAAAUAAAUUCCAUAAAUUAACUUUUAACAAGGCACACCUGUUAAUUGAAAUGCAUUCCAGGUUGACGACCUCAUGAAGCUGGUUCAGAGAAUGCCAAGUGUGCAAAGCUGUCAUCAUGGCAAAGGGUGGC